UACGGAGGAUCCAAGCGUUAUCCGGAUUUAUUGGGUUUAAAGGGCGUGCCGGCGGUUUGUUAAGUCUAGGGUGAAAGCUCCCGGCUCAACUGGGAGAGGUCCUUGGAUACUGGCGAACUUGAGGGAUGCAGAGGAAAGCGGAAUUCCGGGUGUAGCGGUGAAAUGCGUAGAUAUCCGGAGGAACACCGGUGGCGAAGGCGGCUUCCUGGACCGACACUGACGCUGAGGCGCGAAAGCUAGGGGAGCAAACGGG
rnacentral:rRNA from 1 species